GGGCUCAGUUCAGCAGCACAUAAACUAAAUCUGAAACCCCACAGAGAAAAUUAGCAUGGCCCCUGCACAAGGAUGACACACAAAUUUGUGAAGGGUUCCAUAUUUUA
ensembl:snRNA U6 U6 spliceosomal RNA